AGCACUUCGCCUGGCACAGUGGAUGCUCAGACGCCAUUUGAUAAGGGUACCUGCUGUCAAGCAUGGUCUGGAAGCAGAUGACCUUACUCCUGAUAUACGGUCAGAAGGUUAGUG